GCCUUCCUCCACUUUGCCAUUGAUGCUCAUGCUGUAGUGGACAUUGUACACCUGCCCACAAAACAUGGACCGGCUCAGAAGGCCUUCAUCGUAAAUACCCGAGCCACCAGAAAACAAGCUUCCCCCUCUCCUCUCACACACCUCUUGCCCCUGGAGCAUCAACCGGACCAGAGGAACACACCCCACCCCACCCACCCACCCCAUCCUUCCAGGAUCCUCCACAUAUAAACAAGGGCCCCAUUCAUGUACUCUGUCGUGAAACAUGUCUUGUUUGACUUAGAUCCAUGUGUUUUCUUACGCUGCAAAAAUAAUAAAAACAGCCUCCAGUUUGGAGUCCCCCCC